GUUCCUACGGGACGCAGCAGUGAGGAAUAUUGGUCAAUGGGCGAGAGUCUGAACCAGCCAAGUAGCGUGAAGGAUGACGGCCCUAUGGGUUGUAAACUUCUUUUAUAUGGGAAUAAAACAGGGUAUGCAUACCCUCUUGUAUGUACCAUAUGAAUAAGGAUCGGCUAACUCCGUGCCAGCAGCCGCGGUAAUACGGAGGAUCCGAGCGUUAUCCGGAUUUAUUGGGUUUAAAGGGAGCGUAGGUGGAUUGUUAAGUCAGUUGUGAAAGUGUGCGGCUCAACCGUAUAAUUGCAGUGGAACCUGGU
rnacentral:rRNA from 1 species